ACUUCCGGGCGCCCUGUGUGUCCUAUCAGCGAGGUGUGGAGGCCGUGGCGCAGGGCUGCCCCUCUGGCGGCGGCUGCAUGGGUGAACAGCCCGGCGCACUAAAUACUUUCAGGCCUGACUUCAGCUGUCGAUGUUUUUGGCCUGGAAGUCGCAGGCUGUGCGGCCUCUGACAGAGUGAGGAGGCCUGCGCAGACUUGAGAUUUCUGGCGAGGAAACUAAGGCCCUUGGACCACCAACAUCAGUGUCACUGAGGAGCUCGUUAGAAAUGCAGAAUCAUGAGCCCCACUU